UAGCACCUCAAGUGGUCAGGAUGAUUAUUGGGCCUAAAGCAUCCGUAGCCGGCGCUGUAAGUUUUCGGUUAAAUCUGUACGCUCAACGUACAGGCUGCCGGGAAUACUGCAGCGCUAGGGAGUGGGAGAGGUAGACGGUACUCGGUAGGAAGGGGUAAAAUCCUUUGAUCUAUUGAUGACCACCUGUGGCGAAGGCGGUCUACCAGAACACGUCCGACGGUGAGGGAUGAAAGCUGGGGGAGCAAACCGGAUUAGAGACCCGAGUAGUCC
rnacentral:rRNA from 1 species